UGCAGUCGACGCUGAGCACUCUGCUUGCAGAGUGUGGAUGAGUGGCGAACGGGUGAGUAACACGUGGGGAACCUGCCCAUAAGAGGGGGAUAACAUCCGGAAACGGGUGCUAAUACCGCAUAGGUGAUCAUAGCGCAUGCUUAGAUCAUUAAAGAUGGCUUCGGCUAUCGCUUAUGGAUGGCCCCGCGGCGUAUUAGCUAGUUGGUGAGGUAAUGGCUCACCAAGGCUGUGAUACGUAGCCGACCUGAGAGGGUGAUCGGCCACACUGGAACUGAGACACGGUCCAGACUCCUACGGGAGGCAGCAGUAGGGAAUCUUCCACAAUGGGCGAAAGCCUGAUGGAGCAAUACCGCGUGAGUGAAGAAGGUCUUCGGAUCGUAAAGCUCUGUUGUUAGAGAAGAACAAGAGGUGUAGUAACUGGCACCUCCUUGACGGUAUCUAACCAGAAAGUCACGGCUAA
rnacentral:rRNA from 1 species